UACAGAGGGUGCAAGCGUUUAAUCGGAAUUACUGGCGUAAAGCGCGCGUAGGUGGUUCGUUAGUUGGAUGUGAAAUCCCCGGGCCUCAACCUGGGAACUGCAUUCAAAACUGACGAGCUAGAGUAUGGUAGAGGGUGGUGGAAUUCCUGUGUAGCGGUGAAAUGCGCAGAUAUCAGGAAGAACACCCGGUGGCUAAGGCGGCUCUCUAGUACGGUACUGACGCUGAGACGCGAAAGCGUGGGGAGCGAACAGG
rnacentral:rRNA from 1 species